GGAAAUGUAAGGGUGAUCUGGCUGUAAUAUCUGUCAACCCACUGAUCACCAGGGUUGGUUUGGCUGAUCUGGCUAGCUAGGCAGGUGUACCCUUUGUCCCUCACAGCUCCAUGUGAGUCCCUCCUGAAGUCACAUGCUCAAAGAGGACAACCUUCCCUGACAGAGGACCUUUCUUCAGUCAAAGGUAUACAAGUAGCUGUGUUCCCCUGCUAGAAUCUCCAAACAAGCACUCAAGAAAAUCAAAUAGGCAAAAAUCUAUUGGGGGAAAACUAUAAUAGACUUCUGAACACAGAUUUGCUGAACAAUCAAACUAU
ensembl:misc_RNA 7SK 7SK RNA